UACGUAGGUGGCAAGCGUUGUUCGGAAUCACUGGGCGUAAAGCGCACGUAGGCGGAUUUGUAAGUCAGGGGUGAAAUCCCGGGGCUCAACCUCGGAACCGCCUUUGAUACUGCGAAUCUUGAGUCCGAUAGAGGUGGGUGGAAUUCCUAGUGUAGAGGUGAAAUUCGUAGAUAUUAGGAAGAACACCGGUGGCGAAGGCGGCCCACUGGAUCGGUACUGACGCUGAGGUGCGAAAGCGUGGGGAGCAAACAGG
rnacentral:rRNA from 1 species